rnacentral:rRNA from 1 species
ACAAGGGAAUGCUUAGUACGGCGAGUGAGCGGCAAAGCUCAAAUUUGAAAUCUGGUACCUUCGGUGCCCGAGUUGUAAUUUGGAGAGGGCAACUUUGGGGCCGUUCCUUGUCUAUGUUCCUUGGAACAGGACGUCAUAGAGGGUGAGAAUCCCGUGUGGCGAGGAGUGCGGUUCUUUGUAAAGUGCCUUCGAAGAGUCGAGUUGUUUGGGAAUGCAGCUCUAAGUGGGUGGUAAAUUCCAUCUAAAGCUAAAUAUUGGCGAGAGACCGAUAGCGAACAAGUACAGUGAUGGAAAGAUGAAAAGAACUUUGAAAAGAGAGUGAAAAAGUACGUGAAAUUGUUGAAAGGGAAGGGCAUUUGAUCAGACAUGGUGUUUUGUGCCCUCUGCUCCUUGUGGGUAGGGGAAUCUCGCAUUUCACUGGGCCAGCAUCAGUUUUGGUGGCAGGAUAAAUCCAUAGGAAUGUAGCUUGCCUCGGUAAGUAUUAUAGCCUGUGGGAAUACUGCCAGCUGGGACUGAGGACUGCGACGUAAGUCAAGGAUGCUGGCAUAAUGGUUAUAUGCACGCCCGUCAAGAAACACGG